rnacentral:rRNA from 1 species
UACGGAGGGUGCAAGCGUUAAUCGGAAUUACUGGGCGUAAAGCGCACGCAGGUGGCUGAGUCAGUCGAUUGUGAAAGCCCUGGGCUUAACCUGGGAAUUGCAGUCGAUACUACUCAGCUAGAGUAUGGGAGAGGGUAGUGGAAUUCCCGGUGUAGCGGUGAAAUUCGUAGAUAUCGAGAGGAACACCGGUGGCGAAGGCGGCCAACUGGACAGAUACUGACGCUGAGACUCGAAAGCGUGGGGAGCAAACAGG